rnacentral:rRNA from 1 species
GAUGAACGCUGGCGGCGUGCCUAACACAUGCAAGUCGAACGGCAGGACGGGUACUUUGAUCUGCUGUCGAGUGGCGAACGGGUGAGUAAUACAUGUGGACAUGUCCCGUAUAUGUGGGUAAUCAUUCGGAAACUGGGUUGAUACCCCCUUAUAAUAUCCUGCUCCAUAUGGUGAACUUGUGAAAUUCGGCCUUUGUGUCUGUCAUUGAUGGAUCCGCUCUGUAUUAGCUAGUUGGUAUGGUAACGGGCUACCAAGGAGAUGAUGCGUAGGCGAGCUGAGAGGGUGAUCGGCCACACUGGAACUGAGACACGGUCCAGACUCCUAAGGGAGGCAGCAGUAGGGAAUGUUAGGCAAUGGGCGAAAGCCUGACAGAGCAACGCCGCGUGUGUGAUGAAGGCCUUCGGAUCGUAAAGCACUGUUGUUAGGGAAGAACAUAUGUGUAAUGAGACGUGCAGAGAUUGACGGUACCGGAUCAAAAAGCAACGGCUAACUACGUG